GACGAACGCUGGCGGCGUGCUUAACACAUGCAAGUCGAACGAAGUGGCGCACGGGUGAGUAACGUGUAAUCAAUCCGCCCCUCUGAGGGGGACACCAGUUGGACACGACUGCUAAUCCCGCAUACUGAAGGUGGGGAUUGCGUGUGGUUAGCUAGUUGGAGGGGUAAAGGCCCACCAAGGCGAUGAAGAGUAGCCGGUCUGAUAGGAUGAGCAGUCACCCUGGAACUGAGACACGGUCCAGACGCCUACGGGAGGCAGCAGUGGGGAAUAGUGGGCAAUGGGCGAAAGCCUGAUCCAGCCAUGCCGCGUGUGUGAAGAGGGGCUUCGGAUUGUAAGGCACUAUAAGUUGGGAGGCGGUACCAGCAGAAUAAGCACCGGCUAACUUCGUGCCAGCCGCCGCGGUAAUAC
rnacentral:rRNA from 1 species